UUAAGUACCAGCUGAUGCAGCAGUUUUCUGCAACAGUAAAAGAUAGAAAUUUUUUAAAAUUGGAUUUAUUGGGAUGAGCAAGUUCUAUUAAGUAGCUAGAUUAAAUACAGGAUAUAAAAUUUUCUUGCCAGAUUUUGCUGAGAAAUUCAGAAUCAGACCAGAGAGCUGUACUAGUACUGCCACAUGCAAAGCUGAAGAAGAGCCACACAACAUUUCUCAGUUCUCCAUAAUUAAAUUAAAGAAGAUAAUUGUGACAGCAGGCCUGUUUAUGUGGAGAUGAUAAUCUGCAGGCCAAAAAAAAAUGGGAAAAAAAUAUUGGACUACAAAGAGGAGAUACAAGUUCAAGCCUUGAAGAAGAACUACUGAGGCUUUAGGUUGCAUAUUAUCAGAAGAGGAAAGCCUGAAAACCAGAGAAAUCACUCAAUGUAAAUCCAACACAUGAUCAGAUCUGCCCUUCGUACCCAUACUACAGAACUUUGCUCUAGCAGCCAACCUAGCGAGGAUAGCAAGAUACCAUCACUGUGUUCUCUAUCACAACUAAGCCAAUAAAAAAGAAACAUGAUGCAGACCAGAUCUGCUGAGGAGUCAAGGGCUGGGUGGUUCGUCUUCAUCCUUGCUUUUUCCCAACCAAGCAAAUCUCACAGUCUGUCAAGUUUGGGGAGAUCUACUUUAGGAAGAAGGGCUGCAGUAAUUGUGAGCCUUUCUAGCAAUUUUAGGUGGAUCACCCAUGUAGCGUAUACGAUGUUGUGGUGGUUUUACCCAGCUGAGCAGCUGAACUUCACCACAAACUCUCUCUCAUGGGCUGCAGCUCCAGCCCAGGGUUUGCUCCUGUGGGGGCUCACCAUGGGCUGCAGCCUCCUCCAAGCCACAUCCACCUGCUCCACCGGGGGCUCCUCCAGGGGCUGCAGUGUG